AAGCGGCGCUCACAACCGUCUCUAUUGACAACUGUGGCGUCGUCGGCUGCGGAUCUAGAACUGGCUCUUCUCCUUCCGAAAGUGCUGGUAUAUUCAAAUCUGAAGAAGUUUCCGUUCUAUUAAUUCGGACUCGUGUCUCUGGUUUCCGAGGAGUAAAGAGAGAAGGAUUAACUCAUCCAAAUGGACGCAAUACUGAAUUACAGGCUAGACGACAGUGAAGAUUACUACACGCUGCUGGGCUGUGAUGAGCUCUCUUCGGUUGAACAAAUACUGGCAGAAUUUAAGAUCAGGGCUUUGGAAUGUCACCCUGACAAGCAUCCUGAAGACUCCAAAGCUGUGCAGACUUUUCAAAAACUGCAGAAGGCCAAGGAGAUUCUGACCAAUGAAGAGAGCCGAGCCCGCUAUGACCACUGGCGAAGGAGCCAGAUAGCAGUGCCAUUCCAGCAGUGGGAAGCUUUGACUGACUCCAUGAAAACGUAUAAUCCCUCUGGAAGGAAACAUUGAUUGGGAGCACAAGGCCCACCCUAAAGGCAAGACAAACCACAGGGCAGCUGGGCAGCAGCACACACACAGGCUCUGGUCUACACACACAGCUUGCUUCUCCUCGUGGGGAAUUCUUCCAGCAAGUCUCAGCCUUAGAGUGACACAAGUGAUGAAACUGUAACGGAUACUUUUCUCUGUUAACUAGCUAUUUAUUUCUUUUUCUAGAAGAUCCUUCUGAUAGUUUCAUUUGUAAUACAUUAUGAGAAUUCACCCAGGUCAAUGAACAUUCCAGCAAUAUACAUUUAGACAUGUGUUGGUUGAAGGCAAGACUGUGGGAGAAGGUUUUCAGUGAUUCCAGCCUUUGGAAUCCUGAGACAGCUUGAAAACAAGAGACCUUUCUAGCUCUAAGAAUGUAGGGAAAUUAGUCUGCGCCAUUCUGGGUAUGAAUGACUCUCUCUCUGUUUUCAAAAUAUGUGUCAGAAUGGCAUGAGGAGGGCUUCUGAAAAGUGGUUACAGCAGAGCCACGGUCAAAAUGAAGCUCUUAAGACAAAUAUCAUAAGCUGAUAAAAAUAUUGCUGUCAUAUCAUUUGCUAUAAAUGAUAUAAGGAGUCAAUAGAAAUACAUUCUUGGUGAAUUGUUUGACAAACUGAUUGUUCAUGGGGUGCCAUUUGGGGCUUCCCAUCACCCUAUGUCAUCCCAUGUCUAUUGAUUGUUUCUGGGUUCCCGCUGGGUGAGGUGACUUUGGGAUGAGUCCAGUUGACCACAGACUACAAGGAAGUUUCCUACUGGGCCCACAUGGCCACAAUUUCUCUAACCAGAUGGGAAACAGUGUGCAAUCCAGCACCUUCUGGGCCUGUUUGAAAGGCAAUCUGUGUUAAUUGGAUAUUAUCCAAAAGCAGGCCAGAAAUCACUCCUGGAGAUCCAGGAUGAAAGUAACCAGUUGAUUUUGCAUAGUUACUCAGCUCAGCUAUGGCACUUCUGAGUCGACUGCUUUUUUCUUUUCUAUUUGUUGCAAUGUUUAACCUCUUAUGUAUAAAAACAAAAUUAUUUGCUAGUGCUGACCAAAGUUUGAAUGUUGGAGAAUAACUCCUGAAAGAAGGGCAGGAGGGAAAGGGACAGGGAGAGGAAGAGGCUCAUUAAAGAAAGCUGGCAAACAAGGUAAUUAUGAAGGUGGACUAAUAAAAUACCAGGUUCACAGACUUCCGGAUUAGUGGCCUUUGUAUCUGAGCUUGCUUUCAUAUGCUGUUAGCUUGCGUCAUGCACACACUGACUUUCUGCCUUGUGCUGUACAUUAUUUUGCUGUACAGAUUCUCCCUUUCCUAGUCUCCUUUUUAGUCUGUAUCAACGAUCACUUUGGCCCACUCUGUUGAGAUGCAUCACUAUGCCACAGAUUAGUUCGUCUGAUGUGAAAUGGUGUUCUGUGCAUCCAGCGCCUUUGUGGAGUCCAGCAGUCUGUGAACACAGAUCAAUGCACUGGGCUGUCAGAGGUAAGAAAGAUCUGAUGCUGGAAGAAUCUGACCAGACCCAUACCAAGAAGAUUAAAAAUGAAGAAGGGAAAGAACAAGGAGAAAUAAAGGAAGAGGAACUGGGUUCAACCACAGAGAAAA